rnacentral:lncRNA from 1 species
AUAUUCCUAGGGUUAACUAAUCUAAACCUUAGAGUUUAGAGUUAAGGGGUGUGAAUUUGGGAUUGAGGUUUAAAAUUUUAUAAAAUAAAAAAUAAGUAUUAAAAAUUUGAAAAUAAAAAUUUUAAAAAUAGUUUCAAAAAGUAUUUUCGAAUUACAAAAAGAAAAUUUGAAAAAAAAAUAAAAUUUCUUUUUCGAAAAAACAAAUUUAAAAAAAAAAAUUAUAAAAAAGUUCGAAUUUGAAAACAUAUAAUCUAAAACUAUAAAAAAAUUUAAUUUUUUUUUUAGUUUUUUUAGUUUUUUUUUUAAUUUUUUUUAAAUUUUUUAUUAUUUUUAUAUAUCUAGGAUAUUAGGUUUUUUUACCUAUUAAAUGAAAUAUUUUGGUCACUUUCCUCCUUGUGGUCUACUUUUGUGACCAAAACUUGAAAAUGGUCUAUUUAUGAGAAUUGUCCUAGAAUAAAACAUGGUAAAUGGUAUAAUUCAUAUUAAUGAAAUUAUAAAAUAGUUUGAUGAACAUCCAAAACUUCAAUAAACUAAAUUUAAAAUACUAAUCACUAAAUCUAAAAGGAAAUAUAAACUUUAACUCAAAUAUCAAAAUAUGCAAAUAGUAUUUAAUAUAAAAUAUUAUUAAAAUAGAAUAGUAACAAACAAAUGAUAAUAAUACAUAUAGUUUAAAAUUUUGAAAUGUUUAUGAUUGCAGAAAAUGAGGUAAUGCUUACCCCAAUGUCAAUCCAAACUUUUCAUAAACUAGACCCAAAACACUAAUC